ACACGUAAACAACCUGCCUUCAGGAUGGGGACAACAGACGGAAACGACUGCUAAUACCGAAUAAGUUCCAAGAGCCGCAUGGCCCAUGGAAGAAAAGGUGGCCUCUACCUGUAAGCUAUCGCCUGAAGAGGGGUUUGCGUCUGAUUGGCUGGUUGGAGGGGUAACGGCCCACCAAGGCGACGAUCAGUAGCCGGUCUGAGAGGAUGAACGGCCACACUGGAACUGAGACACGGUCCAGACUCCUACGGGAGGCAGCAUG
rnacentral:rRNA from 1 species